UACGGAGGAGGCAAGCGUUAUCCGGAAUUAUUGGGCGUAAAGCGUCCGCAGGUGGCACCUCAAGUCUGCUGUCAAAGACCGGGGCUUAACCCCAGAAAGGCAGUGGAAACUGAAGUGCUAGAGUGCAGUAGGGGUAGAGGGAAUUCCCGGUGUAGCGGUGAAAUGCGUAGAGAUCGGGAAGAACAUCGGUGGCGAAAGCGCUCUGCUGGACUGCAACUGACACUCAGGGACGAAAGCUAGGGGAGCGAAUGGGA
rnacentral:rRNA from 1 species